AGUGGGGAAUUUUGGACAAUGGGCGAAAGCCUGAUCCAGCCAUUCCGCGUGAGUGAAGAAGGCCUUCGGGUUGUAAAGCUCUUUCGGCAGGAACGAAACGGUGUGGGCUAAUAUCCUGCAUCAAUGACGGUACCUGAAGAAGAAGCACCGGCUAACUACGUGCCAGCAGCCGCGGUAAUACGUAGGGUGCGAGCGUUAAUCGGAAUUACUGGGCGUAAAGCGUGCGCAGGCGGUUGUUUAAGACAGAUGUGAAAUCCCCGGGCUUAACCUGGGAACUGCGUUUGUGACUGGACAGCUGGAGUGCGGAAGAGGGGGGUGGAAUUCCACGUGUAGCAGUGAAAUGCGUAGAGAUGUGGAGGAACACCGAUGGCGAAGGCAGCCCCCUGGGUCGACACUGACGCUCAUGCACGAAAGCGUGGGGAGCAAACAGGAUUAGAUACCCUGGUAGUCCACGCCCUAAACGAUGCGAACUAGGUGUUGGGGAAGGAGACUUUCUUAGUACCGCAGCUAACGCGUGA
rnacentral:rRNA from 1 species